GGGGACCGAAAUGAUGCAGGGCAGUGGGCGCUAGAGUGAAGCGGUGACUGUGGGUGUUGACUGAGUCUCUGCUCUAGUGGGGCUGAUGUGGGAGGCAGGGAUGAGGGCAAGAUUUCACGCACCAAUUGAAUUUUUUGUAGUGAGGGCUCUUGCUUGGCUUAUUUGCUGCACUUGUAGAGGAAUUGUCCAGGAGCAGCAGCCAGAGGAGAAAUUGGCAGACGUGGGCCUGAGGAGCCUGGACAUUCUUCUAAGGAGACAUGAACAGUCCUCAGCUUUCUGCCUCGUGCAUAACUGGCUGUGGGUAAGUGGUCAGUGCUUGGAAUUCCUCAUCUGUACUUUCUGUGAUUUUCUUCACACUUUGUUUGCUUCCUUGUUGGGUGUGGGGCAUUUUGGGAUUAAGACUGGGGAAAGGACCAGAGUCACAAUUGCUAACUUUCACUGGGGAAAUAAGCACCCCGACUUUGACAAUAAGCCAAAAAUCAAGAUAAACCCAUUUGAAAACAAGGCCAAAACAAGCCAAUCCCUAAGAACCCCAACACUCAAUGACUAGAUCUCCCCUGGCGUGCAGUCUGGGACUGUGGUGGGCCCGCUGUGCACCUCAACUAGCCGUCCCCUUUGCUCCUCCUUGUCCGUGCUUGCUGGAAGCAAAAAGCUACAAGAGGCAAUAAGUUACAAGGCAAAAAGAAGCACAAUUUCUGUGUGUUUUCCCCACAGGUUUGGUGUGUCUGACCAGAGUCAUCUGUGCAGAGUGACUAUUUCAGGUGUUGUCACAAGGGGUGCUUUCUACUUGUAGUCAUAAAGGCGUGAUGGGAGGAGGGUUCAGGGCAGAACCCCACCAUGUGGGAGAGGCAAAAAGAAGCGGCUACCCAACAUUGCCAAUUGAGAUGGUGACUGACUUGUUUUUCCGCUGGAUUUAGUACCAAGGGAAAAGAAGUGACAAGUCAGAGUCUACUGCCCCCAUACGAUGGAAAGUGAGCGAGAGUGAUGGGACUGCGAGAAUUAUUGAUGCCUUGAAAAAGCCGUCCAACUGGGAAUGGAAGAGUCAUCACUGUCAAUGAGAUAAGUGUCUGUUUUGGUGAUUGCUCUGCUCACGGCCCACCUUGCUCCUGAAAGGGAUGCCCCGUUUGCUGAGGCUGUGUUUGUAAGAAAAGGUUCCUGCCUAGCUGUGGUUUUGAGAGAGAGAGAAGAUUCCCAUUUUUAGGGGCUGCUCAGUUUUCUGGCCAGGAGCAGUGUGUCCUACGCAGCAGAAGGUUGCAUCUAGGAGAAUGAGUCCAAGUGGUGAAUUGCUUGCCUUUCCCUCGUGUUUCUUUCUCUCUCUCUCCUCUAGUGUGUUGGCCAACACUCUUUCUCAAUCUGUCCUUGCUUUUCCUUGUGCUGUCUCCCUUCUUAGGAUAUCGGCAGGCGAGCUAGGUGUGCACCCCCACAGGUUGUGUCUUGGGAGCCAUAAAGAAGUAGGAGGGGACGAAAAUCAUGCGGGGCAGUCGGUGCGAGACUGGAGCGAUGACUGUUGGUGUUGUGGGGCUAAGACAGAUCGAAAGCGACGCAGGGAAGAGGGGCUUAAUUGGGCUCUAUGUAGUGCAGAAGUUCUCAAACUGGGGUUUAGGUCCCGUCAGGGGGCCGCAAGGUUGUUAUUUGGGGGGUUGUGAAAUGUCAUCCUCCAUACUAAACAUCACUUUGCUUCCAGCAUUUAUAAUGGUGUUGAAUAUACAAAAAGUGUUUUUAAUUUAUAAGAGGAGGGUCACACUCAGAAGCUUUCUAUGUAAAAGGGAUCAUCAGUACAAAAGGUUGAGAACCACUGGUGUAGUGAUAGUUCUUGCUUGUCUUUAUUAGUUUGCAGCGGAAUUGUGCAGGAGUCUCAGCUGGAGAAGAAGCUGUCAGAAGUGGACCUGAACUGCCUGGACAUCCUUCUAAGGAGACAUGAACAGUCCUCAGCUUUCUGCAUUCUGGAUAACUGGCUAUGAGUAAGAACAGUCACACAUCAGAGUCUACUGUCCUCAUGCGAUGGAAAUUUGCAGAGGAAUCGUCCAGGAGCCCCAGCCGGAUGAGAAUGUCAGAAGUGGACCUGAGCAGCCUGGACAUCCUUCUAAGGAAACAAGAAUAGUCCUCAGGUUUCUGCCUUCUGCAUAACUGGCUUACCAAGGAAAAAGACAUCACAUGUCAAAGUCUACUGCCCUUAUGAGUGAGAGUGACGAGACUGCGAGCGUUGUUGGUGCCAGGCAGGAGCCGUCCAUCUGGGAGCAGAACAGCUGCUACUAUCACUGAGAUAAGUAUCUGUUUUGCUGAGGGUUCUGCUCACGGCCCACCUGGCUACAGGUAGAGACACCCCGUUAGGUGGAGUGGGUUUGUAAGAAAAGGUUCCUGACUAGCUGUGGUUUUGAGGGAGACACGGUCCCCAUUUUCAGGGGCUGAUUUCUCUGGCCAGGAUCGGUGUGUCCUCGGCAGGAGAAGGUUAGAUCCAUGAGGGAUGACUCCAGGUGGUGAGUUGCUUGCCUUCCUCCUCUGUUUCUCUCUCUGUCUUCUCUUCUCUACUCUACUCUACUGUGUUGGCCAACACACUCUCUCUCUCUCUCUCUCUCUCUCUCUCUCUCUCUCUCUCUCUCUCUCUCUCUCGGCUGUCUCCCUUCAUAGGGUACAGGCAGGAGUGCUAUGUGUGCAUCCCCUCAGGCUAGGUCUCGGGAGCUAUGAACAAGUAGGAGGGGACGAAAAUCAUGCAUCGUAGUGGGCGCUAGAGUGGAGGGGUGACUGUAGAUGUUGACUGUCUCUCUUCAAGUGGGCCUGAUGUAGAUAGGCAGGGAUGAGGGCAAGAUUACCUGCACCAAUUGAAUUUUGUGUAGUGAUGGCUCUUGCUUCGCUCAUUUCCUGCGCUUGCAGAGGAAUUGUCCAGGAGCAGCAGCUGAAGGAGAAAGUGGCAGACGCGGACCUGAGGAGCCUGGACAUCCUUCUAAGCAGACAUGAAAGGUCCUCAGAUUUCUGCCUCCCGCACAACUGGCUGUGAGUAAGCGGUCAGUGCUUGGAAUCCCUCAUCUAUACUGGCUCCGGUUUUGUUCAGAGGCUCUGAAUUUCUUCAUUGGACAUGGUGCUCUGUGGGAUUCAGACGAAGCAAAGGCACAAGUCUUCUGUGCAAAUGCUGGGUUUAGUACCAAGUGCAGAGUCAGAGUCCACUCCGCACAUGCCAUGGAAAGGGAGCGAGAGCUGGGAGAUUCUAAGCAUUGUUGAUGCCAGGAAGA